GUAGAUCUAGAACAGAUAUAAAGACAUCAGAAAAACCUCAAAUGCUAGGGUUUUCAGAGGAACACAAAUGAUGAGAAAGGCUUGGAUCUAAGCAGGAGGAGUCGAGGCCAGGUUCGAAACAGGCAUGGCUCGUCGGAGCAGGCCGGAGAUGGCCGUAAAGCUUGAAUCAACAAUAGUCUAGCCCUAACACUUCAUGGUCAAGUCAUGAAACUUCAAUAACCAGACGUAAGGAACCAUAUGAGGUUGGUGGGUGGUGAAACCACCAUAGAUUCAGGCCAAGAGGUGGCCGAAGAAGAUAAAGGGAACUCAUCAGAGAUGAGGGGAGGGGAGGGCGAAGGUUCUAGAGAGCACCUAAGAUAGAGAUAUUGAGACAAGUAAGGAAAUGAGGGGGUAUUG
rnacentral:lncRNA from 1 species